AGAGUUGAUCCUGGCUCAGGAUGAACGCUGGCGGCGUGCCUAACACAUGCAAGUCGAGCGGAGUAUGAGAGGUGCUGCACCACUUUAACUAGCGGCGGACGGGUGAGUAACACGUGAGUAACCUGCCCUUGAGUGGGGAACAACAUCGAGAAAUCGGUGCUAAUACCGCAUAACAUCUCUUUAUCGCAUGUUAGAGAGAUCAAAGGAUUUAUUCGCUUGAGGAUGGACUCGCGUCCGAUUAGUUAGUUGGUGAGGUAACGGCCCACCAAGACAUCGAUCGGUAGCCGAACUGAGAGGUUGAUCGGCCACAUUGGGACUGAGACACGGCCCAGACUCCUACGGGAGGCAGCAGUGGGGAAUAUUGGGCAAUGGGCGAAAGCCUGAACCCCAGCAACGCCGCGUGAAGGACGAAGGUCUUCGGAUUGUAAACUUCUUUGAUCAGGGACGAAACAAAUGACGGUACCUGAAGAACAAGCCACGGCUAACUACGUGCCAGCAGCUGC
rnacentral:rRNA from 1 species